CCCAAGGAUGGGGCCGCGACCGAUCAGGUUGUUGGUGAGGUAACGGCCUACCAAGCCUUUUACCGGUACGGGCCGUGAGAGCGGGAGCCCGGAGAUGGGCACUGGGACAAGGGCCCAGGCCCUACGGGGCGCAGCAGUCGCGAAAACCUCGCAAUAAGCGAAAGCUUGACGGGGCUAUCCCGAGUGCCAUCCGCUGAGGAUGGCUUUUCCCUAGUAUAGAUAGCUGGGGGAAAAAGGAGAGGGCAAGUCUGGUGUCAGCCGCCGCGGUAAUACCAGCUCUCCGAGUGGUGGGGAUGAUUAUUGGGCCUAAAGCAUCCGUAGCCGGCUGGGCAAGUCCCCUGUUAAACCCAGCGAUCUAAUCGUUGGCCUGCGGGGGAUACUGCUUGGCUAGGUGGCGAGGGAGGCCGUCGGUAUACCCGGGGUAGGGGUGAAAUCCUAUAAUCCCGGGAGGACCACCAGUGGCGAAGGCUGUCGGCUAGAACGCGCCCGACGGUGAGGGAUGAAAGCUGGGGGAGCGAACCGGAUUAGAUACCCGGGUAGUCCCAGCUGUAAACGAU
rnacentral:rRNA from 1 species